AGUCGAGCGGACAGAAGGGAGCUUGCUCCCGGAUGUUAGCGGCGGACGGGUGAGUAACACGUGGGUAACCUGCCUGUAAGACUGGGAUAACUCCGGGAAACCGGAGCUAAUACCGGAUAGUUCCUUGAACCGCAUGGUUCAAGGAUGAAAGACGGUUUCGGCUGUCACUUACAGAUGGACCCGCGGCGCAUUAGCUAGUUGGUGGGGUAAUGGCUCACCAAGGCGACGAUGCGUAGCCGACCUGAGAGGGUGAUCGGCCACACUGGGACUGAGACACGGCCCAGACUCCUACGGGAGGCAGCAGUAGGGAAUCUUCCGCAAUGGACGAAAGUCUGACGGAGCAACGCCGCGUGAGUGAUGAAGGUUUUCGGAUCGUAAAGCUCUGUUGUUAGGGAAGAACAAGUGCGAGAGUAACUGCUCGCACCUUGACGGUACCUAACCAGAAAGCCACGGCUAACUACGUGCCAGCAGCCGCGGUAAUACGUAGGUGGCAAGCGUUGUCCGGAAUUAUUGGGCGUAAAGGGCUCGCAGGCGGUUUCUUAAGUCUGAUGUGAAAGCCCCCGGCUCAACCGGGGAGGGUCAUUGGAAACUGGGAAACUUGAGUGCAGAAGAGGAGAGUGGAAUUCCACGUGUAGCGGUGAAAUGCGUAGAGAUGUGGAGGAACACCAGUGGCGAAGGCGACUCUCUGGUCUGUAACUGACGCUGAGGAGCGAAAGCGUGGGGAGCGAACAGGAUUAGAUACCCUGGUAGUCCACGCCGUAAACGAUGAGUGCUAAGUGUUAGGGGGUUUCCGCCCCUUAGUGCUGCAGCUAACGCAUUAAGCACUCCGCCUGGGGAGUACGGUCGCAAGACUGAAACUCAAAGGAAUUGACGGGGGCCCGCACAAGCGGUGGAGCAUGUGGUUUAAUUCGAAGCAACGCGAGAACCUUACCAGGUCUUGACAUCCUCUGA
rnacentral:rRNA from 2 species